rnacentral:rRNA from 1 species
GGGUGCGAUCAUACCAGCGUUAAUGCACCAGAUCCCAUCAGAACUCCGCAGUUAAGCGAGCUUGGGCUAGAGUAGUACUGGGAUGGGUGACCUCCAGGGAAGUCCUAGUGUUGCACCCU